rnacentral:rRNA from 1 species
CUACGGGUCGCUGCAGGCGAGAAAACUUUGCAAUGUGCGAAAGCACGACAAGGUUAAUCCGAGUGGUUUGUGCUAAACGAACCUUUUGACAGUCCUAGAAACACUGUUGAACAAGGGGUGGGCAAGUUCUGGUGUCAGCCGCCGCGGUAAAACCAGCACCUCAAGUGGUCAGGAUGAUUAUUGGGCCUAAAGCAUCCGUAGCCGGCUCUGUAAGUUUUCGGUUAAAUCUGUACGCUCAACGUACAGGCUGCCGGGAAUACUGCAGAGCUAGGGAGUGGGAGAGGUAGACGGUACUCGGUAGGAAGGGGUAAAAUCCUUUGAUCUAUUGAUGACCACCUGUGGCGAAGGCGGUCUACCAGAACACGUCCGACGGUGAGGGAUGAAAGCUGGGGGAGCAAACCGGAUUAGAUACCCGCGUAGUC